AACGUAGGACACAAGCGUUAUCCGGAGUUACUGGGCGUAAAGGGCGUGUAGGCGGAUUGAUAAGUCUAUUCUGAAAGCUCCUGGCUAAACUGGGAGAGGCGAAUGGAGACUGUCAGUCUAGAGUGAGGAAGAGGAAAGUGGAAUUCCGCGUGUAGUGGUGAGAUGCGUAGAGAUGCGGAGGAACACCAGUGGCGAAAGCGGCUUUCUGGUCC
rnacentral:rRNA from 1 species